GGCAAAGGACAGUAGCUCAGUUGGUAGAGCAUCUGCUUUGCAAGCAGAAGGUCUCGGGGUUAAUCUGUGGCA